rnacentral:lncRNA from 1 species
GUAAUCUUUAUGACCACUGCUUUAUCUAGUUUUUGCCUAUAAAAGGCGUAAAUUUUGUAGAAGGAAGAUAGAGUGAGAAAAAUCAACCAACCUCAAAAACAUAUCUGAAAUGUGUAAACUCUUCCUUCCAACAAACCUAUCCAAGUUAGUCUUUUUUGUAUAAACUCAAUAUUAAGUGUGUUUGAAUAAAAGCUUCAAGUUUUCUAUUCGAUCUUAAGGGGGCUUCCGAAAGGGAAACCUCUCUCCUAGUUACUUCAUGUAAGUUCUUGUUUACAUAUUUUUUCCCACAAAAAAUAUUUAUAUUUAUGUUCUUAUGUCCAUGUUUAAAGUUUUUUAACAUGUUUUUGUAAAUCAUGUAAAUUAAAUUUUUGAUAAAAUUAUUACCCUUAG